ensembl:lncRNA
UUUUAGGCCGGGCGUCAAUUACAUUGUAAUUGAUUUGCAUUGUUUCUGGACUAACCUUCUGUUUUUAUAUUGCUAUAUAUAGCCCAUCUUUCCUCCAGUGAAACCAAUCGUGGUCGAGCGUCCCAUCUCUCCACCAGUGAAACCCAUCGUGGUCGAGCGUCCCAUCUCUCCACCAGUGGAGCCCAUUGUGGUCGAGAGUCCUAUCUCUCCACCAGUGGAGCCCAUCGUGGUUGAACUCCCCAUCUUUCCACCAGUGAAGCAUGUUGUCGUUGAGCUGCCCAUCUCUCCACCAGUAAAUCCGAUCAUGGUUGAGCUCCCCAUCUUGCCACCAGUGAAACCCAUCAUGGUUGAGCUGCCGAUCGCUCCAGUCGAAGCUGAGUCGCUUCAGAGAUUUGAGGGUCUGACACAGCGACAUAAAAAAAGAAAGAAAGACAUGGAAACUUCAGUUCCACAGACCAGAACUACCCUGACUCCUCCCUCCCUAUCGGAUUAUUUCGCUCCACCUACAACUCAGAGAUGUCAAAGGGCCCAGGAUUUCUUCCCUCCACCUCCAGUGGAGCCCAUCGUGGUUGAGGAGCCCAACUCUACACAAGUGAAGCCCAUUGUGGUUGAGCUGCCCAUCUCUCCUCCAGUUGGGCCCAUUGUGGUUGAGGUGCCCAUCUCUCCACCAGUGAAACAAAUCAUGGUUGAUCUGCCCAUCUCUCCACCAGUGAAGCCCAUCGUGAUGGAGCUGCCCAACUCUACACCAGUGAAACCCAUCAAGGUUGAUCUGCCCAUCUCUCCACCAGUGAAACCCAUCAUGGUUGAGCUGCCCUUCUCUCCACCAGUGAAACACAUCAUGGUUGAGCUGCCCUUCUCUCCACCAGUGGAGCCCAUCGCUGUUGAGUUGCCCAUCUCUCCACCAGUGAAGCCUGUUGUGGUUGAGCUGCCCAUCUCUCCACCAGUGAAACCCAUCAUGGUUGAGCUGCCCAUCUCUCCACCAGUGAAGCACGUCAUGUUUGAGUUGUCGAUUGCUCCAGUGGAAACUGAGUCGCUUCAGAGUUUUGAGGGUCAGACACAGCGACAUAAAAAAAGAAAGAAAGACAUGGAAACUUCAGUUCCACAGACCAGAACUACCCUGACUCCUCCCUCCCUAUCGGAUUAUUUCGCUCCACCUACAACUCAGAGAUGUCAAAGGGCCCAGGAUUUCUUCCCUCCACCUCCAGUGGAGCCCAUCGUGGAUAAGGAGCCCAUCUCUCCACCAGUUAAUCCCAUCGUGAUGGAGCUGCCUAACUCUCCACCAGUGAAGCCCAUUGUGGUUGAGCUGCCCAUCUCUCCACCAGUGAAUCCCAUUUUUGUUGAGCUGCCCAUUUCGCCACCUGUGAAGCCCAUCAUGGUUGAGCUGCCCACCUCUCCACCAGUGAAACCCGUCGUGGUUGAACGGCCCAUGUCUCCACCAGUGAAGCCUAUCUUGGUCGACCAUCCCAUCUCUCCACCAGUGAACCAACAGGAUCAACCUGGUCAAGGGGCCAACUGGGAAAUAGAGGCUGGUUCUUCUCAGAUUGUCGAUGCUCCUGUCCAUCUCCUCUUCCCUGCUUCCUCUGAUCUCCCUCAGCAGAUCCCACAGGAGCAGCCUGGAGUCCUCACAGCAUUCCCUGGUCCUCUUACAAACGUUGGGACUCUUGAGGAGAUGAUUGAGGUUGCAUGGCAGAAGUGUCAGGAGUACCAAUCUAAGUUCUUCAUGUGGUACUUUGUUACCCUUUUGUGCACACAGAGUAGGGCACAGCCCAUCUUUCCUCCAGUGAAACCAAUCGUGGUCGAGCGUCCCAUCUCUCCACCAGUGAAACCCAUCGUGGUCGAGCGUCCCAUCUCUCCACCAGUGGAGCCCAUUGUGGUCGAGAGUCCUAUCUCUCCACCAGUGGAGCCCAUCGUGGUUGAACUCCCCAUCUUUCCACCAGUGAAGCAUGUUGUCGUUGAGCUGCCCAUCUCUCCACCAGUAAAUCCGAUCAUGGUUGAGCUCCCCAUCUUGCCACCAGUGAAACCCAUCAUGGUUGAGCUGCCGAUCGCUCCAGUCGAAGCUGAGUCGCUUCAGAGAUUUGAGGGUCUGACACAGCGACAUAAAAAAAGAAAGAAAGACAUGGAAACUUCAGUUCCACAGACCAGAACUACCCUGCCUCCUCCCUCCCUAUCGGAUUAUUUCGCUCCACCUACAACUCAGAGAUGUCAAAGGGCCCAGAAUUUCUUCCCUCCACCCCCAGUGGAGCCCAUCGUGGUUGAGGAGCCCAUCUCUCCACCAGUUAAUCCCAUCGUGAUGGAGCUGCCCAACUCUCCACCAGUGAAGCCCAUUGUGGUUGAGCUGCCCAUCUCUCCACCAGUGAAACCCAUCAUGGUUGAGCUGCCCAUCUCUCCACCAGUGAAACCCAUCAUGGUUGAGCUGCCCAUCUCUCCACCAGUGAAACCCAUCAUGGUUGAGCUGCCCAUCUCUCCACCAGUGAAGCUCACAGUGGUUGAGCUGCCCAUCUCUCCACCAGUGAAACCCAUCAUGGUUGAUCUGCACAUCUCUUCACCAGUGAAACCCAUAAUGGUUGAGCUCCCCAUCUCUCCACCUGUGAAACCCAUCAUGGUUGAGCUGCCAAUCUCUCCACCAGUGAAACCCAUCAUGGUUGAGCUGCCCAUCUCUCCACCAGUGAAACCCAUCAUGGUUGAGCUGCCCAUCUCUCCACCAGUGAAGCACGUCAUGGUUGAGCUCCCCAUCUCUCCACCAGUGAAACCCAUCAUGGUUGAGCUGCCCAUCUCUCCACCAGUGAAACCCAUCAUGGUUGAGCUGCCCAUCUCUCCACCAGUGAAACCCAUCAUGGUUGAGCUACCGAUCGCUCCAGUGGAAGCUGAGUCGCUUCAGAGAUUUGAGCCAAUGAAGGGUCAGACACAGCGACAUAAAAAAAGAAAGACAGACAUGGAAACUUCAGUUCCACAGACCAGAACUACCCUGACUCCUCCCUCCCUAUCGGAUUAUUUCGCUCCACCUACAACUCAGAGAUUUCAAAGGGCCCAGGAUUUCUUCCCUCCACCUCCAGUGGAGCCCAUCGUGGAUAAGGAGCCCAUCUCUCCAGCAGUGAAUCCCAUCCUGAUGGAGCUGCCCAACUCUCCACCAGUGAAGCCCAUUGUGGUUGAGCUGCCCAUCUCUCCACCAGUGAAUCCCAUUUUUGUUGAGCUGCCCAUUUCUCCACCUGUGAAGCCCAUCAUGGUUGAGCUGCCCACCUCUCCACCAGUGAAACCCGUCGUGGUUGAACGGCCCAUGUCUCCACCAGUGAAGCCUAUCUUGGUCGACCAUCCCAUCUCUCCACCAGUGAACCAACAGGAUCAACCUGGUCAAGGGGCCAACUGGGAAAUAGAGGCUGGUUCUUCUCAGAUUGUCGAUGCUCCUGUCCAUCUCCUCUUCCCUGCGUCCUCUGAUCUCCCUCAGCAGAUCCCACAGGAGCAGCCUGGAGUCCUCACAGCAUUCCCUGGUCCUCUUACAAACCCAUCUUUCCUCCAGUGAAACCAAUCGUGGUCGAGCGUCCCAUCUCUCCACCAGUGAAACCCAUCGUGGUCGAGCGUCCCAUCUCUCCACCAGUGGAGCCCAUCGUGGUUGAACUCCCCAUCUUUCCACCAGUGAAGCAUGUUGUCGUUGAGCUGCCCAUCUCUCCACCAGUGAAGCACGUCAUGUUUGAGCUGCCGAUCGCUCCAGUGGAAGCUGAGUCACUUCAGAGAUUUGAGGUAGGCUACUCACUCCACACUGUCCCUUUGAACUUGUAAAUCAUGGUCCUAGUUUAGCUGCAAUCAGCAAUUCACACAU